rnacentral:rRNA from 1 species
GAUGAACGCUGGCGGCGUGCCUAAUACAUGCAAGUCGAGCGAACAGACGAGGAGCUUGCUCCUCUGACGUUAGCGGCGGACGGGUGAGUAACACGUGGAUAACCUACCUAUAAGACUGGGAUAACUUCGGGAAACCGGAGCUAAUACCGGAUAAUAUAUUGAACCGCAUGGUUCAAUAGUGAAAGACGGUUUUGCUGUCACUUAUAGAUGGAUCCGCGCCGCAUUAGCUAGUUGGUAAGGUAACGGCUUACCAAGGCAACGAUGCGUAGCCGACCUGAGAGGGUGAUCGGCCACACUGGAACUGAGACACGGUCCAGACUCCUACGGGAGGCAGCAGUAGGGAAUCUUCCGAAAUGGGCGAAAGACUGACGGAGCAACGCAGCGUGAGUGAUGAAGGUCUGCGGAUCGUAAAACUCUGUUAUUAGGGAAGAACAAAUGUGUAAGUAACUAUGCACGUCUUGACGGUACCGAAUCAGAAAGCCACGGUUACCUACGU